rnacentral:tRNA from 1 species
ACUAAUAUGGCAGAUAAAAUUGUAGUAAUUUUAGAAAUUAUAAAUGAAUUAAAUAAUUCUAUUAGUA